rnacentral:rRNA from 1 species
CCUACGGGAGGCAGCAGUGGGGGAUAUUGCACAAUGGGGGAAACCCUGAUGCAGCGACGCCGCGUGAGUGAAGAAGUAUUUCGGUAUGUAAAGCUCUAUCAGCAGGGAAGAAAAUGACAGUACCUGACUAAGAAGCCCCGGCUAACUACGUGCCAGCAGCCGCGGUAAUACGUAGGGGGCAAGCGUUAUCCGGAUUUACUGGGUGUAAAGGGAGCGUAGACGGUGAUAUAAGUCUGGAGUGAAAGGCCGGGGCCCAACCCCGGGACUGCUUUGGAAACUGUGGAACUGGAGUGCAGGAGGGGCAGGCGGAAUUCCUGGUGUAGCGGUGAAAUGCGUAGAGAUCAGGAGGAACACCGGCGGCGAAGGCGGCCUGCUGGACUGAAACUGACGUUGAGGCUCGAAAGCGUGGGGAGCAAACAGGAGUAGAUACCCGGGUAGUC